rnacentral:rRNA from 1 species
AUGCAAGUCUGGAGGCCAAGAUUACCGACUUCGGCAAUGUCUAAGGCCUUCAAACAUGACAAGGACACACAUGUAUCCACAAACACACUCGUUGGUACCUAUGGAUAUGUUGAUCCAGAGUACCUGGCAACAAUGCAACCAACAACAAAGAGUGACGUGUACAGUUUCGGUGUCGUGUUGCUUGAAUUCGUCACCGGAAGACCAACUAUAUUGCCAGAGUCUCUGAUGCCCAUCAGCAUCAUCCAUUGGGUGAGGUCCCAGCUAGUGGAGGGCAACAUUGAGAGCGUGGUGGAUGCGCGCAUGCAUGGUUGUUAUGAUGUGAACAGUGUGUGGAAGGUGGCAAACAUCGCUCUGGAGUGCACCGCACAUGUGUCGCUGGAACUGCCCACCAUCAGCGACGUGGUGGUGCAGCUCCAAGAGUGCCUCAAGCUCGAGGAUUGCUAUGCAAGCAGUGACAUGAGCGGAGGCUUGUACACCGGAAGUGGAAUCCAUGAUCCAAACUUGAAUAAUGAAUCUCAGGACAGUGUUGCAUUAGAGAUGGAGUAUGUGUCUAGAAGGAUGGCAACAAGGACCACAGAUCCUGUUGCACGUUGA